UUAUAUUUUUUGGUUAUAUGUACAAUUAUGGAGCAAAAAGUUAUUAGUUAUUAUUGUCCUUGAUUUGUGGUUUUCUUUGGUUAAAUGAAAUUCUUGGUAUUUUGCAUGAUUACAGUUUUUUAUUUUCCAGUGUCCUGAAAAUUACACAUCACCUGUCUUCAGUUCAAUAAAAUAGUGUCUGGUCUAGCAGCUCAUAGUCUUCAGACAAUAUCCCAUCUUUGUCCACUGUUACCACCAUUUGCCUUACUCCCAGCUUAGCCACUUUCUGCUUUCUCGACAUUUUAUCCCAAGGCUGAUGAAACUCAUCUGCAGAUGCCAUCCAUCCACUGCUACCACCAUUUGCCUUACUCCGAUCUUAGCCACUGUGUCUGCUUUCUUGACUUCUUAUCCCAAGGCUGAUGAAACUCAUCUGCAUAGCAAGUUCCGCAUGCAAGUUUUGUUCUCAAUAUGAUGCCAAAACUACGGUUUGCUUGUUUUCUCAUUCAGAUGCCAAAAUCUAUGGAUGCGAAAAUCUAUGGAUUGUGUUGGCAUUUACAUUCUCAAUAGACUGUGCUUCACUUCCUGUAGGGUUAGUAUAGGUCUCAAAGUUUCAAUCUUUCUGGUAGAAACUGAAGAAUUUUUUUUUUCUCUUUUUUUUUUU